UACAGAGGUCUCGAGCGUUGUUCGGAUUCAUUGGGCGUAAAGGGUGCGUAGGCGGCGAGGUAAGUCGGAUGUGAAAUCCCGGGGCUCAACCCCGGAACUGCAUUCGAUACUGCCUUGCUUGAGUACUGGAGAGGAGACUGGAAUUUACGGUGUAGCAGUGAAAUGCGUAGAUAUCGUAAGGAAGACCAGUGGCGAAGGCGAGUCUCUGGACAGUUACUGACGCUGAGGCACGAAGGCCAGGGGAGCAAACGGG
rnacentral:rRNA from 1 species